AUUGAACGCUGGCGGCGUGCUUAACACAUGCAAGUCGAUCGGUAACGCGGGGGCAACCCUGGCGACGAGAGGCGGACGGGUGAGGAACGCUUGGGAAUCUGCCCUUCAGCGGGGGACAACCCGGGGAAACCCGGGCUAAUACCGCAUACGCUCCACGGAGGAAAGCCGGGGACCGCAAGGCCUGGCACUGAAGGAUGGGCCCAAGUCGGAUUAGCUAGUUGGCGGGGUAACGGCCCACCAAGGCGACGAUCCGUAGCUGGUCUGAGAGGACGAUCAGCCACACUGGGACUGAGACACGGCCCAGACUCCUACGGGAGGCAGCAGUGGGGAAUAUUGGACAAUGGGCGAAAGCCUGAUCCAGCGACGCCGCGUGGGUGAAGAAGGCCUGCGGGUUGUAAAGCCCUUUCGGUAGGGACGAAAGCCUCCGACCUAACACGUCGGGGGGUUGACUUAACCUACAAAAGAAGCACCGGCUAACUCUGUGCCAGCCGCCGCCGUAACAC
rnacentral:rRNA from 1 species